AAAAAACCUUUCUAAUAGAAAUUAUGUAUUUAAAAUGUUUUAAAGUGUUUCUUGUGUAUGAAAACUCCUAUCAUAAGAUAUUUAACUACUGAAGAUGUGGCAUCCCUUCUUAUGACAUCACUGUUUUCUUAAUGUUAACAGAUCUUAGUAACAGAUUGUAAAACAGGCUGCUGUUUGACUCCCUAAUAUCUCACUGUCUUUACUCACAAACAAUGCUAAAAGCCUAAAUUUUUCUAGAAAUUGAUAGAAAUGGGUGGCUGAGGAGGCAUCAGUAAAAGCCACUGAGUGACGACUCUUCCAGGAAAGCUUUACAAAGCAGGCUUACUGUGUAAGUCUACGCAUACAUCUGGGCCUUUGGAGGGACUAUCUUUCCUUCUUUGGAACCUACAGACUAUAGCAGAGCUCCAGCAGCAAUGCUAUGAAAACAAGUCCAUCUUCUGAAUGGAAUCCAUAGGAUUAGGAUGAUAGAACUGACCGCCAGAAGGAAUCAGACCAACCAGCCUUGGAUUGCUUCCCCCAGAUUUUAUAUUUUGUGAAAAACAAACAAAUAAAACUCUACCUUGUUUAAGUCACCUUCAUUUUGUGUCCCUGUUAAUACUGGUAAAUGCAAUCUUAAUGCAUACAUAUAUGUACUAGUUGAGCUUUUUGUGUUUUAUCAGUGAUUUUUAUACUACAUUGAAUGCUCAUAUUUAUAUCUUUAACAAUAAGUUUAAAAUUGUAUACAUUUUUCUAUUCAAAUUUUUAUUAUUUUAAGUGACAUAGUCCUUAAUGUGCCAGAUGAACUUUAAUAGUAUGCUCCCUAAUUAUCCAAGCACAUUUCAAUGUCAACUUUUAUUACAUCAACCAAAUAUCAAGUUGAUAUCAACCAAAACAGGCUAAGUGUUUUUCUGCAGAGAAUUUUAACAGCACAAAUAUGGACUCAUUUCUGAUAUAUAAUCUUUCUAUGAUAAUAAUGUUUAGUAAAACCCAUGAUCACUGAUGUAAUGUUUUUUCCUGAUUAUGCAUUUAUUUACAUUUCACCAGGUGCUAUAUCUUCCAUUUCCCAGAGAAGUUAAUAUUUGCUUUAUUCUUGUGAUAAGAGUAAUGAUUAUUAUGAUCUUAAUUAGCGCUAUAAGCUGAUAGCUAACUAACUUGCUCAUUUAUAUAUAAAUUAACUAUCACAAAUCUUAGCUAUAUCAAUCAUGAUUUGAAGUAUUUUUUGCUGUCUGCCUGCCUUCCUUCUUUCCUUCUCUUUUAAUUAUGUAAAAUAUAAUAAAUAUAUUUAUAUGCAUAAGGGAUUUAUUAUAGUGGCUAUUUCUUGUACUGAACCAAUAAAACUAUUCAUAUAAAUUACUCAUUUUAUACUAGCAUUAUGUAUAAUGUAGCCUUUUGGUGUGUUACAAACAAGAGUUUUUUUAGUGAUACACUGAGAAAGAGUAUCAACCACUCAUGAACAUUUGACAUAUCCCAAAAGCGUCCUAAAAUAAGUUUCAUUAAUGGAUGGAUUAAUGAGAAAAAAUAAUUAACCUAUCUAUGCUGAUAUGCAUAAAACAGCCCAACAUUAUGAAAAAAUAAUAUCCUCCUGGACUGUGCACAUCACCUGAAUAUGAAAUGUGGAAACUGGAUAGUCUCUGUAACAAGAAUGCCGAGUACUUAAACGUUGCAGUGUAUUGUUUGCCUAUUAUUAUUUCUCUUAUUAUUUGACUAAUAGGCAUUUUCUAAAAAACAAGAAAGGCCAUAGUAGAGCAAAGAAGGGUAGUAUCCCUAGAACUAGUAGUGUUCUGUAUGUAUUUGUGAGAAAGCCUUUAAUAUUAAGUGAAAAAAAAAAAACCUAAACAUAAGAUAGGCUUGUCAAGUAUCAUUUGUUGGGAGCUAUUGCCAAGAGCUAAACCCUACUAGAUACAUGUAGUUGAAAAAUAGAACUGCAAGGCAGACACUAUUCAUUCAGGUCCCAAAGACUCUUGAAAGCAGGAAUCAAGCCAUCAGGAACAACUUUCUCUAACUCUCCCCAUUGUUUGUUUAAUUUUUAUUUAUUUUUAUUUUUUUAAGACAGUCUCACUCCAUUGCCCAGGUUGGAGUGCAGUGGCAUGAUCUGAGCUCACUGCAGCCUCGACCUCCUGGGCUCAAGCGAUCCUCCCACUUCAGCCCUUCAAGAUGCUGAGACUACAGGUGCAUGCCACCAUGCCUGGCUAAUUUUUGUAUUUUUUGUAGAGAUGGGGAUCUCACUAUGUUGCCCAGGCUGGUCUUGAACUCCUGAGCUCAAGUGAUUUCCCCACCUCAGCAUCCCAAAGUGUUACAAGUGUGAGCCACCAUGCCUGGCCCAUCUCCACACUGUCUAACCUAGAAUGUGAAUAUAUUUUCUCUCACUGCAGAACAAUUUCUAUCUUGUAGCUGAAAACAUUCCCAUCUCAAUGAAUAUUAUUUGUGGGCUUACUUUGGGCACUGCCAUGUUCUGGGCUUUUGAAACUCAAUAAAUCAACAAAACAGAAAAUUUUAAAGCUCUGAUAGUUUACAGAGGAAGACAGAAAAUGAACUGAUAAUAUAUUAUUUAGUAUGUCUGGUAAUGAUAAGGGUUUCUGAGAAAAAGAAAGUAAGGAAAAGGUAAUAAGAAAGUGAGACUGGGGGCUGCUAUUUCAUAAAAGGCAGUAUAGAAAAUAUUUCUGAAGUGAGAUAAUACUUAAGCAGAUAUCUAACGGAAUGAAAACAACCCAUGUAGAUUUUGUGGGAGGAGCCUCUCCCAGCCACAGAGAACUACAAGUGCAAGGACUCUACUGUAAAAGAGGUUUUGGGCAAUUGAGUAAGAACUAGAAGUCAGUGUGACCAUCCAGAGAGUGAGGGUAAAAUUGAAUCAGCUGAGGUCAGAUAUCUAGCUUUAAGUAGAAGACCUUGUAGACCAUUUAAGGACCUUGGAUUCUAUACCAAAUCAGAUGGACAUCCUUUAGAUGAUGCUAAACAUGACCCAACUUUAUUUAAACAGGAUCAUUGUGAUUUCCUCACUGGGGAGACUCUGCAGGAGAACAAGACCAGUUUAGAAGUGGUUGCUGCAAAAGCAAAUGGCAGCUUGGAUCAUGGAAAUAGCAGUAGAUAUACAAAAAAAAGUGGACAGAUUCUAGAUCUACACGUUCUUUUCUCAUAAUAGUUAUUAUGCACUAAAGUUUUUUGCUAUAAGGGCUUUCAAAUUAUAUCACUCUUUAGACAACUCUUUGUUUUUCCGGUGCUUUCUAGCUCACUAGUGUAUACUACAUAAGUACGCCAUAAAAAGUGGUAUUUCAGCAUUAUGGCACCAGGCAAAGAUGCACUUACUAAUUUACAUGAAACAAUAUUUCUAAUCCAAAAAUAUAUUAUGAAGCAAAUUAGAUUAACCUGAAAAUGUUUUGCUUUACAUUCAUGUGCCUAAAAGAAAAAUGUAUGGGUAGAAUCUUCCACAAGUCUUUAGCCCAUCAUGUUGAAGGGCUUUUUCUCAAGUGUUUUGUAUUGCACUCAUAUUAGCUUAUAUUUGGCUCUAAAAGUGUUUCAUUUUUGUUUUGUUUUCUGUGUUAUAACUUUUUAUUUAUUUAUUUUUUAUUUGAGAUGGAGUUUCGCUCUUGCUGCCCAGGCUGGAGUGCAAUGGUGCAAUCUCGGCUCACUGCAACCUCUGCCUCCCAGGUUCGAGAGAUUCUUCUGCCUCGGCCUCCCAAGUAGCUGGGAUUACAGUGCACACCACCACAGCCUGCUAAUUUUGUAUUUUUAGUAGAGACGGGGUUUCUCCAUGUUGGUCAGUCUGGUCUCAAACUCCUGAUCUGAGGUGAUCCACCCACCCCCUGCCCACCGGGCCUCCCAAAGUGUUGGGAUUACAGGCGUGAGCCACUGCACCUGGUCCAACUUUUUAUUUAUUUUAAAUUUAUAUUUAAAUACUGUUUGAGGGAAAGCUGAGCAUUACCCCUAAAAUAUUACCCCCACCUCCAUUUAAAGAGGUUUCUUCACAUCCUACCUACACUACCAACUGUCCGCUAUAAACUGGUCACUACUUUCUUUGGAAAAAGCAAUCAACCAUGAAUAAUGCACUUGAUUGUAUUCAAACACAUUGAUCUUCAGUCACCGGGAUCCGACCUAUUGCCUUGACUGAUCUUUGUCUCUGUAGCUUUUAUUUCUUCCACCUAGAUCUAACUCUUUAUCAUUUAUUUUCCUUCAUCAUUGUGAGGAAAAAAUGGUAUCUCCUUCAGACUUUUCUUAGCAUAUUACCUACCAAUGGUCAUUCUCAGGUCAGGGAAUAUGCUGUAAAUUCAUAAACAAAAGUACGCAAAGUUUAUUUGGAAAUUUAAUGAAUGUGCACUCAAAAAAAGCUUAUAAUGUGUUUCCUAGGUGUUCAGUGGUUGAAUAGAUACAAAAUUGGUAGCUAACACAAAAUUAAACUAAUUUUUUUCAUUUUUACAAUAUGAAUAAAAUUAUUUGAAAUGUAAGAAGUGCUUUCUGUCUCACUGUGAGAACACACCGUUAGCUCUUCCAAAAACGUGGCAGCGAGAGCCUUCCUAAUUCUUGUACCCUAGGUGCCUAGUUUGCCUUACUCUAGCUCAGUCCGGCCUUUUCCAUUAAUCCUCAUCCAUUAUUAUUUAUUAUGUUUCUUAUUGUCUUUGUGUAGACUAAAAAUAAAAACUUCUUUAGCUUUUUUUUUUAAUCUCAUCUACCUAAUAUAGAAGCAUAGAUUAGGAUUAACAUGACUGAAUUUGAAAGCCCUGUUAUCUGGCUUCAGUAUUGACUCCACUACUUACCCAAAGUAUUAGGUUGGCCCAAAAGUAAUUGUGGUUUUUCCCAUUACUUUUAAUUGGUUUUUCCAAUUACUUUUGUGGAAAAGCUUCAAAAGUAAUUACUUUUAAUGGAAAAACUGCAAUUACUUUUGCACCAACCUAAUACUAACAUGGACAAAUUGUUUAACAUGAUUAGGCCUUGUUCUACUCAUCUGUAAAGUGAGAAUAAUAAUGUUCUUUAAUCAUAGGUGUGUAGCAAAUGUUAAAAGUGUUCACACAUAUUUUUAAAAGUGGUAUGAACCAUUGUAAGUGCUCUUCAAAAGUUAACUAUUAUAAUACUAUGAUUUUAUUUAAAGGACUUUUC
rnacentral:lncRNA from 10 species